rnacentral:rRNA from 1 species
CUCGUAGGCGGUUCGUCGCGUCCGGUGUGAAAGUCCAUCGCUUAACGGUGGAUCUGCGCCGGGUACGGGCGGGCUGGAGUGCGGUAGGGGAGACUGGAAUUCCCGGUGUAACGGUGGAAUGUGUAGAUAUCGGGAAGAACACCAAUGGCGAAGGCAGGUCUCUGGGCCGUUACUGACGCUGAGGAGCGAAAGCGUGGGGAGCGAACAG